UCCUAAGCAGCAGCUAAACCUGUUGUGCCACAGCACUCACCUCAGGAAAGGCAUUGUAUCAGAAUACUUCUGAGAAGAUUCAAAGAAAUCAAAGGUGGCUUUCAUCAAUUGGAAAACACUUGGUGUAUCAAUCAAAUUAUAGGAAACGGUGAUUCCCAUAUAAACACAAAGCUGCUACAAUAUCUCUUAGCUCUGAGUGUCUCAAAUUGUAGGGUUUCCCAUACUCAUCCAACAACUGCUAAGAAACCUGAGACUAUUGAGCCCCAAUUCUACAGAUGGAUUUUAGAAAGUCUGGCUAUAGCUCUAGAACUUUGCAGUUGGAACGUGCCUCACAAUAUGGAGGCAAUACUAUAAACUACAUAAAUCUUCGAAAUUUGAGUUGGAUCUCACUAGGCUAAAAUCAAGAUUUCAGUUCACUUGUAUCACUUUCCAGAAAAUCCGGAAAUAAAUGGAAGACCUGACCACAUGAACCCACAUGGUCUGAAAUAAUUGGAAAUGAAUAUCCAUUAACCCUUUGAGAAGAUAGACCAUGAAGAAUCCAAUUUCCCUUAGACUUCACUAUCAUUCCUACUUGAUCUACCAUUUGAUACCACUGACACCUACAUAUAUGAGUUUGCAUACCCUGAUGCAAUGGACAACAGGUACAAUCUAAGCCCCUUUAGCUGGCAGAUCACUGUCAUUUGAGUGGCAACUUGAGCUCCGAGGUUUGUAUGUAUACUUUCUCAUUGUUGUUUUGGUAAGUAGAACAUUUCUGUCUGCUUUUGACUGCUUUCUCCUUUAGCUACGCCCAGAGGGUGAUGACAGAAAAAGCUACAAAGCUAUUGCCAUGGGAGAAGGUUCUGAUGACAGUGGCAGAGAUCACAAGUCAUGAUUAAUACAACCUCAGGAUAUGUCAUCAGCUUAGUAUUCUGUUACUUAAGACUAAUGAUAUGAAACAUAGUUGGAACACUGAAGUUUCAUUGUCCAUUUCAAAGUGCUUCAAUUCCCCAUGGACAGACGCAAGCUGAUAGAAACUUUCAGGCCGCAAACAUAGAAGAGCUAGCUGGAAGUAUGCCCUUUACGCUUAUGUGAAUAUUCCGUCACUGUUAAUUCUCCCAGCUUGUUUAUUCUGCUACUACAUAAGAACUGAGGCUUGUUUUUAGCAGCAUUGAUUAAUGUGUCAUUGGUCUUUAAGACAGGAAAUAGAACAUCCAAAUUUCCCAUAUGAAUUUAAAAUAAGUCAAAUUUAACAUCAAGAUAAAAUGUUUACCAUGGUAAUAGCAGAAUGGGCAAGCAUCAUUCAAAACCUUUCAAGGCUCACAAAGAGCAUUUGAAAUCUUAAUGUCAAUAUAUACAUGGCUAGAUAUUAAUUGUAUUAAUCUACAUAAGUGUGUCAACAUGCUUUUAGUCAAAAGAAUGGGUAGUUCAUUUAUUUUAUACAUAUUUGUAUCCAUUCAAAAUUUGCAUAGUUGUGUUUUCUAUCAUCAAUAGAAAUUGGUCUUACUAUUAGCAGUUUAGAAUUACUGAGACAAGCAUGAGGUUGAACCUAUACCUUUAGAACACUUUCUUAAACUCAGCACUAUUGAAAUAUUGAACUAAACAGUUCUUUGGAGGAAGAGACUGUCCCAUGCAUUGUAGGAUGUCAGAAAGUAUUUCUGUUUUCUACCCAUUAAAAGCCAGUAGCAGGGGCUGGCACUGUGGCUCAUAGGCUAAGCCUCCACCUGUGGCACCAGCAUCCCAUAUGAGUGCCAGUUCCUGUCCUGGCUGCUCCUCUUCCGAUCCAGCUCUCUGUUAUGGCCUGGGAAAGCAGUGAAAGAUGGCCCAACUGCUUGGGCCCCUGUACCUGUGUAAGAGACCCAGAAGCAGCUCCUAUCUCCUGGCUUCGGAUAGGCCCAGCUGUGGCAGUUGCAGCCCAUUUAAGGGGUGAACCAGUGGAUGGAAGACCUUUCUCUCUGUCUCUCCCUCUCUCUGUAACUCUACCUCUCAAAUAAAUAAAUCUUUAAAAAAUAAGCCAGUAGCACCCUCCCACUAAUUUGUGACAAUUAAAAAUUUCCCCAAAUAUCUACUGGAAGUAAAAUUACCCUCUGGUUGACAACCAUUACUUUUCAAUAAGUGUCAUUUCUCUCUUGUUACAAAACUUAACAAGGGACACAAAAGUAGCAAGAUGAACAUCUAGAACAGGGUGGUAGGCCUGUUUAGCUUCAAAACAAAACAAAACAAAAUAUGUUCUAUACACUAAUUGACAGUGUCUCUUGAUUCUGGAGUUACAUGGACAACAUUGUGUUUAAUUAGAUAUGAGGCUUUUCAUCAGUUUUUAUUUUUAUUUUUAUAGGAGAUGAAUGUCUACUAUUUACAAAGUACUAUGACAGGGAAAGAGGCAAUUAUAAAUUUUAUUAACUUACCACCACUAAAGAACAUAAACCUUUUCAUUCAUAAAUGACUAAUUCAGAACUGAGGAUAGAAAUUACAUGAACUCAAAUGCACAUAAAGGUUGAAAUAUACAUUUAUAUGUACUCACCAUUAUCUUGUUAAACAUUCUUAUCCCAUUAAAGUUUGAGCAUCAUUACAUAAAUAUAUUGCACAACAGUGAAGUUAUUACCUGUAGAAUUACAUAGUGAGGCAUCAGUUUAUUCUUGUAGUAUAAGAUGGUGAAUUUGGCCCAUUACCUGUUCCUAUAAAUAAAGUCUUAAUGGGAUAUAGCUAAACUCAUUUGUUUUUUGUUUGUAGUUACUUGCAUAAUAUGAGGAUAGAGUUAAGCAGUUGUUUUGGAAAUCACAGGGCUCACAAAGCCAAAAGUAUUUAGUUAGGCCUUUUAAAAAUAAAACUUCUCAAUCUCUACAUAUAAAUUCAACAUGGCCAGGUUUCUGUAGAUGGGUAGUAGAAUGUAUCUUACUUGUCUGUGUUUAUGCAUUGUAUGCCAUAUUUUGAAACAUGUAUUCACCUGAAAUACACAGCUGUUUUCAUAUCUGUGAAGCUCAGGAAAUAACAAUUAGCCUUUCUUCCCCUUAAAUUAAUUUAAUAAGAAAAAUUGAUCCAAAUGUGCUAAAUGCUCAUUCUGUGUCAGCCAAUUUUCCACUUUUACUUGCAUUCUACUUAAUUAUUACAACACUGUGAUGUAACCAUAUUCUUACUUUCCAGGGAGAUAUUGAGGCUUAUGAAGGCUUGCAACUCCCUCAAGUUCACACAGAACUGGAAUUCAGGUAUGUUUGACUGCAAAGCUCAAGUCUUUACAUACUAUACUCUGUACAGUAAUAUUUAGUCAUUUUAGUUUUUACACAUAUUUUCAAGAUCUAAGCAAAUACAUUGUCUCAGGAAAAUAAUAAUUCUUCUAAUCUCCUUAUUUGAUGCCUGCUCUAAUGAAAGGAGGCCAAGAUUAUUGAUAGUCAUGUGGAAAAUACAUAGUGAGCUCCUUCCCUUCAUUAGACCCUGUGCAAGAUAAAAUCAGAGUACUGAAAAAAGACAAGAUCCAUGACCUCGCUAAGAUAUCCUUCUGGAGGGGAAAUAAAAGACAAGCAAAAUAUGACAACUCAGAGAUGAAAUGGCCAUACCACUCAUAGGGACAUGUAGCAGGUAAUAAAGGAAGACGGAGUUUUGAUAAAUUCAUAUGGAACCAAGAUAUAAGACAUCAGUAGCAAUUGGCACCAACAUCAAUGUGGACAUUGGCAGUUAUCUGCUUACUUGAGGAGUCAGAAAAGUUGGUAAGUGGUCAGGGAAGACUUCUUUGGGAAUGAGAAGCCAGGUGUUUAAAAUCUGUCAUCAGCUGAAUGGAUGAAAGACACUGCCCCAAGAAAAUGAGAAGACUGACAGGGAACAAAAUGGGUACCAUGCCCACAGAAACCAGGCUCUGGCAUCAUACUAGAACACACUACAAAGCAGCAGAUGCUGAUCAGGUAGGCAUAAUCUACCUUAAUUGGCCAGGUCAACAAUAUUUCUAAAUUGUCUCAUCUCUCACAUGGUCAACAUGGUGACAUUUAUUAGUGAAACAGGAAUCAUGAAUGCUAUGCAAGAGACAAAGAAAAGACAAACCAGAUGCCUGACAAAUGGAAACUAUAUAGAACUGAUCAAUUGAUAUGCACUUUCUAUGUAAACUAGCAAUGCCCAGACAUUGAUAAAUGGCUCCCUUGUGGCAAGCAGGAGACUCCUUCUCAGAGGCUUUGCUCAUCCCGCUCCUUUAUUGUCCAUGUUGUUCUUCUCCAUCACUGUGAAACACAGAGCUCACUCCAAAUUCCUGUAACACUUACAAAUGCCUUAGGAUAUAGAACUGUUUUUACACAAUUCCAGACUCUGCAAAAGUGGGUCCUUUAGUUGGGAAAAACAUGAUAUAAUAUGUCUAAUAUUCACUAACAGUAGAAGACAUAAUAAAAGCAAGUGCUAAAUUGUGUGGAACAGCAAUGAAGUACAGAAGACACUGGGAGUAGCAGAGAUAAACAGAGUAUGGAAGAGGAAGGAAGAAAAUAGGACACAAGUUGACAGUUUAAGGAAAAGUAGGAUCUGGAUAACCAGGAAGGAGGUAUGUUAGGUUGAGUGAAUGUUUUUGGUGAUAAACUGAAGUUGGGAUAGAGUGCACAAGCUCUGGACUUCUAAAGACAAUGAUCCAAAUGAAAGAAAGUGUAGAGAAUACUGGAAGAGAAUUUCCUGUUGAUAGCUUUACAUAAAAAUGAACAUCAUUUCUGAUAAUUGAGUGGAAAACCUAAUAAUAUAUCCAAUCACAAACAGGUAGUAUGCGAGAAAUAAAAUUCUAUCUAAGAUAACAAAAGAAUAACAAAUAUGCUUACAAAUCACUGCUCCAGACAAUUGAAAAGUGUUGAAUAAUAUUGAAUUUGAUAACAAAAUAACUUUGGAACUUUCAUGGAAUUUGUAUCAUGUUGAAAUGAAGAUAGGCUGUACAGGUUCAGUAUCUCUAAUUCAAUAACCCAAAAUUUGACAUGACAGGACAAAUGGAAAAUUCCGUAUCUAACCAUUUCUGAUAUAUUAUAGUCAAACACAUAAAAUUAUUGUAAAAUAUUAUCUCAAGUGAACUACAGGCUAUGUCUGUAAGAUGUAUGAAAAGCAUAAAUGAUUUCAGUUUCACACACAAGAUUCUAAUUAUGUAUAGACAAAUACUGUAAAAUCUGAACAUCCUAAAUCUGAAACACUUCCAGUCCCCAAAAUUUUGGAUAAGGAUCCCAAUCCCAAACUUAACUUUAAAAAUAUUUUUUAUCAUAAAGUAAAUCACUCUAACACCACUACUUUUGCAUUUCUAAUAAAUAUAACUUUUUCCUUGUUUAAAUAAUUGUUUUAAAUAUAAUGUGAACAAAUUUCAUGUAUUUCAUAAAUACAGAUCUAGGAGCACAGUAAUACAUCCCACCCUAACCUCCUUCCCACCCAUUCUCUCACUCUCCUUCCUCCUUCUUUUCUUAUUCUUUCCUUUUCUUUAUAGAAUGACAUGCUUCCAGUUUAUUUUAUAGUCAUAAACUUAACCCUCAACUAAGAAUUCAACAAAUAGUAAGAAGAAGGAAAAAACACCUCUGCUGUUCAACAGUAGAGACAAGGGCUGUAAACCAGUCAUUGAAUCUCAAAAAUUCAAUUUCGCUCAUACACAUUGCAUUUUUGUAGUGUAUUAGUGACCAAAGAUCAGGGAUAACAUAUUUGUGUUUUUGGAACUGGCUUAUUUUACUAAGUAUAAAGGUUUCAAGUUGCAUCCAUUUUGUUGCAAAACAGAGGAUUUCAUUCUUUUUUAAUGGCUGAGUAUUAUACUGUAGUGUGUGUGUGUGUGUGUGUGUAUGACAUUUUCUUUAUAUACUCAUUGAUUGGUGGGUGGGCAUCUGGGUUGAUUCCAAAUCUUAGCUAUUGUAAGUUGAGCUGCAAUAAUAAUGGGGCUAGAAGUAACUCUUUGAUAUGCUGAUUUGAAAUUGUCUGUAUAAAUUCCCAGGAGUGGGAUGGCUGGGUUGUAUAGUAGAUCUAUUUUAAUAUUUCAGAAAAUCUCCAUACUGUCUUCCUCAAUGACAGUAUUGUUUACAUUCCCACCAACAAUGUAUCAUGGAAUCUUUUCCCCCAGUCUCACCAAGAUUUGUUGUUUGUUGAUUUCUGUAUGAGAGCCACUGGAAUUAGGGUGAGGUGAAACCUCAUUAUGGUUUUGAUUUGCAUUUCCCUGAAGGCUAGUGAUCCUGAGCAUUUUUUUUCAUGCAUCUGUUGCCCAUUUGAAUUUCAUCCUUUUAAAAAUGCCUGUUCAAGUCCUUUGCCCAUUUCUUAACCAAUUCUUUGCUUCAUUGUUGCUGAGUUCGUUGAGCUCUUUAUAGGUUCUGGAUAUUAAUCCUUUAAAUGUUGCAUAAUUUGCAUAUAUUUUCUCCCAUUUUGCCUGCUGCUUCUUCACUUUACUGGGCAUUUCCUCUGCACUGCAGAAGUUUCUUAGCUUGCUGCAAUCUUAUUUGUCUAUUUUUGCUUUCAGUGCCUUUGCUUCUGAGGUCUUUUCCAAGAAAUCUUUGCAUAUGUCAAUGUCUUACAGAGUUUCCCCAAUGUUCUCUGGUAGUUUGAUUGUAUCAGGAUGUGGAUUUAGGUCCUUCAACCAUUUUGAGUUGAUUUUUGUGUAAUGUAUUUAUUUAGGCAUCUAACUUCAUACUUUUGCAUGUGGAGAUGCACUUUGCCCAGCACCAUUUGUUGAAGAGACUGUCCUUGCUCCAGGGAUUGAUUUUAGCUCCUUUGUCAAACAUAAGUUGGUUAUAGAUUAAUUUCUGUAGUUUCUAUUCUGUCCAAUUGGUCUAUAUGUCUGUUUUUAUGUAGGCUAUUUUUAUUAUAACUGUCCUGUAUUAUGUCUUGAAAUCUGGUAUUGUGAUGUAUCCAGCUUUGCUUUUGUUGUAUAAGAUUGCUUUAGCUAUUAGUCUCUUGUGUUUCCAUUUUUCAGCAUUGUUACCUCUGGAUCUGAGAAGAAUGCCAUUGGUGUUUUGUUUGGGAUCACAUUGAAUCUAUAAUUUGCUUUUACUAGUGUGGACAUUUUGAUGAUGCUGAUUUUUCCAAUUCAUGAACAUGGAAGAUUUUUGCAUUUUCUUAUUUCUUCUUUCAUUUCUUUCUUUAAUGUUUUAUAGUUUUCAUUGUAAAUAUUUUUCACCUCCUUGGGCAAAUUUACUCCAAGGUAUUUAAAUUUUCUUUUAUGAUAUUUUGCAUGGGAUUGAUCUUACAAUUUCUAUCUCAGCCAUGGCACUGUCUCUAUAUACAAAGGCUACUGAUUUUUGUAUGUUUAUUUUAUAUUCUACAACUUUACCAAACUGUUUUAUGAGUACCAAUAGUCCGUUAGUGGAGUCUUUAGAUUUGUCUCUAUAUAGGAUCAUGUCAUCUGCAAACAGGGAUAAUUUGACUUCCUACUUUCCCAUUUGUAUCACCAUGUGUUUUUUCUUCAUGGGUUUAGGUGGGCACCUGCCCCUGAGAGGGCUCCAGACAAUACUCUAAGUCCCUGUGGUCUGUAAUUCUCUGCCUCAGGCAAUAACACAAGGGACAGUGGCUACUGCAGUCUGCUCUCAUUUCUCUUCAAGAAGAUGGCAUCUUCUCUUGAUGCUGAUUCUGAUAUUGGUAGAAGCAGAACAGAGGAGCACUGCCUGACACCGAGUACGGUGCUCUGUAGGAGUGGGAGACAGGAAGAAGCAGGUUGGCUCUCCUGUUCCAAGCCUGGCAGUUGUUAAGACACCAGUCAGCUCCCCAGGCUAAAGCAAAAGUCAGUGGGUAACUGUGAAAUUCCCUUUCAGCUAGAGCAGUGGGCCACACAGCAAUUUCUUCCUACCUUGUCCUGGUAUCAUGGUGGCUCACGGUCAGUAGUUGGGUGCAGCAGUGUCCCUAUCCUCUCUCAUGUUGUUCCAAAAAAAUCUUCAUUUUUUUUUCAAUUUUUUGCAAAACAUUUACACCAUUCAGGUCCCUAGAAAUGUGGUCUUCCCUUUUUUCUUUUCAUAAUCAAGAGCAGCUGAAGUUAGUGUGGCUAUAGCCUAUUCAGCCAUCUUGGAUCUCCACCAAUUUAUCACUUAAUUACAGUACUUACCUUACUGUGUAUAUGACACAAUGUAAAUAGAAAGCAUUACAAUUCAUCACCUUCCUGGCUCUAAUCUAAUGCAGGUGGCAAGGUGUAAAUCAAAUUACCACAUGAAUGACCCCAUAUUCAAAAGACAGAUAAGAAUUACAUAUUAGAAGCUGGCCUAAAACAUUAUCCUGAGUGAAAUAAGCCAGUCCCAAAGGGACAAAUAUCAUAUGUUCUCCCUGAUCAGUGACACCAAAAAGGAAACCUGUUAAAGUGAAAUGAACACUAUGAGAAACGGUGACUUGAUCAGCCCUUGCCCUGACUGUUGAUGAACAACUUAAUACGUUAUCCCUCUUAGUAUUUUUUAUGUUUGUUCUACUUAAUACUUUUGGUUGAAUACUGUAAUCAAUACACAGUUAUUCUUAAGUGUUGAAAUUUAACUGAAAAGUGAUUGCUGGUAAAUAUAAGAGUGGGAGUAAGAGAGGGAAGAGAUGUGCAAUUUGGGACAUGCUCAAGCUGACUUGCCCCAAACGGUAGAGUUAGAAACAUACCAGGGGAUUCCAAUUCAAUCCCAUCAAGGUGUCAUGUACCAACGCCAUCUCACUAGUCAAAGUGAUCAAUUUCUGUUCACAAUUGAUCAUAAUGAUAGGACUAAGAGCCAAAGGGAUCACAUAAACAAGACUAGUGUCUGCAAAUAAAACAAAAAGAGAGUGUAGGAGAGUGUAUACAUGUGAAGUAAAAACUGGCUAUUGUUUGGGUAUUUGUGAAAGGACAUUAGGAGAUCACUGUUUUAACACAUGCACAUAAGAAAUAACACCAAAAGAAAGUAAGCACAUUUUACAAAAUCAUUUCUAUAAUCCAUCAUGUGGAGUUGGA